rnacentral:ncRNA from 1 species
GUUUCCUCCGCAAGGUUCGUCCACGGAGGGUGAGUCAGGGCCUAAGAUCAGGCCGAAAGGCGUAGUCGAUGGACAACAGGUCAAUAUUCCUGUACUACCCCUUGUUGGUACGGAGGGACGGAGGAGGCUAGGAGAAAAAGAAAAGGCUGGUGCUUCCCUUGUUGAGGUAAGAGCAAAUGAUCUUAUUCGCGAUUUCCUAAGAAUUGAGUUAGUCAAGUCCACUAUUUCGUAUACAUGAAAAAGGUAUGGUAGGAC